rnacentral:rRNA from 1 species
GGAGUCUGGACCGUGCCUCAGUUCCAGUGUGGCCGAUCAGCCUCUCAGCUCGGCUACCCAUCGUCGGCUUGGUGGGCCGUUACCCCUCCAACUACCUAAUGGGACGCGAACCCCUCUCAAAGCGAUAAAUCUUUGACCCCAUCCCCAUGCGAGGUCGUGGUCGUACGCGGUUUUAUCAACCGUUUCCAGUUGCUAUCCCCCUCCUGAUA